rnacentral:rRNA from 1 species
UCGAGAAUCUUCGGCAAUGGGCGCAAGCCUGACCGAGCGACGCCGCGUGGAGGACGAAGGCCUUCGGGUUGUAAACUCCUGUCGAGGGGGACCAAGGGGGCGCGAAGAGCGUCCCUCGAGAGAUCCCUGGAGGAAGCACGGGCUAAGUUCGUGCCAGCAGCCGCGGUAAGACGAACCGUGCGAACGUUAUUCGGAAUCAUUGGGCUUAAAGGGCGCGUAGGCGGGCGACCGCGUCGAGUGCUGAAAGCCCCCGGCUCAACCGGGGAACGGGCCUCGAUACGGGUCGCCUCGAGGCGAGGAGGGGGACCUGGAACUUCCGGUGGAGCGGUGAAAUGCGUUGAGAUCGGAAGGAACGCCGACGGCGAAAGCAAGGUCCUGGACUCGUCCUGACGCUGAGGCGCGAAAGCCAGGGGAGCGAACGGGAUUAGAUACCCCCGUAGUCC